rnacentral:rRNA from 1 species
GUGCCAGCAGCCGCGGUAAUACAGAGGGUGCAAGCGUUAAUCGGAAUUACUGGGCGUAAAGCGUGCGUAGACGGUUAUGUAAGUCAGGUGUGAAAGCCCCGGGCUCAACCUGGGAAUUGCAUUUGAGACUGCAUAGCUAGGGUACGGAAGAGGGAAGCGGAAUUUCAGGUGUAGCGGUGAAAUGCGUAGAUAUCUGAAGGAACACCAGUGGCGAAAGCGGCUUCCUGGUCCAGUACCGACGUUCAGGCACGAAAGCGUGGGGAGCAAACAGGAUUAGAUACCCUGGUAGUCCACGCCAUAAACGAUGAGAACUAGACGUUGAGAGGGUAAGCCUCCCAGUGUCGUAGCUAACGCGCUAAGUUCUCCGCCUGGGGAGUACGGCCGCAAGGUUGAA